rnacentral:rRNA from 1 species
UUUGUAUAAUGGGUCAGCGACUUAUAUUCAGUGGCAAGGUUAACCAUCUAGGGGAGCCGUAGGGAAACCGAGUCUUAACUGGGCGUUCAGUCUCUGGAUAUAGACCCGAAACCAGGUGAUCUAGCCAUGGGCAGGUUGAAGGUUGAGUAACAUCAACUGGAGGACCGAACCGACUAAUGUUGAAAAAUUAGCGGAUGACUUGUGGCUAGGGGUGAAAGGCCAAUCAAACCUGGAGAUAGCUGGUUCUCCCCGAAAGCUAUUUAGGUAGCGCCUCGGACGAAUACUACUGGGGGUAGAGCACUGUUAAGGCUAGGGGGUCAUCCCGACUUACCAACCCUUUGCAAACUCCGAAUACCAGUAAGUACUAUCCGGGAGACACACGGCGGGUGCUAACGUCCGUCGUGGAGAGGGAAACAACCCAGACCGCCAGCUAAGGUCCCAAAUUACUACUAAGUGGGAAACGAUGUGGGAAGGCUCAGACAGCCAGGAUGUUGGCUUAGAAGCAGCCAUCAUUUAAAGAAAGCGUAAUAGCUCACUGGUCGAGUCGGCCUGCGCGGAAGAUGUAACGGGGCUAAGUAGUAAACCGAAGCUGCGGCAAUGUGCUUUUGCACAUUGGGUAGGGGAGCGUUCUGUAAGCGGUUGAAGGUGUGUGGUAACGCAUGCUGGACGUAUCAGAAGUGCGAAUGCUGACAUGAGUAACGAUAAAGGGGGUGAAAAACCUCCUCGCCGGAAGACCAAGGGUUCCUGUCCAACGUUAAUCGGGGCAGGGUAAGUCGACCCCUAAGGCGAGGCCGAAAGGCGUAGUCGAUGGGAAACGGGUUAAUAUUCCCGUACUUCUUACAAUUGCGAUGGGGGGACGGAGAAGGCUAGGUGGGCCUGGCGACGGUUGUCCAGGUUCAAGUGCGUAGGCUUAAGAGUUAGGUAAAUCCGGCUCUUUUUAAGGCUGAGACACGACGUCGAGCACCUACGGGUGUGAAGUCAUUGAUGCCAUGCUUCCAGGAAAAGCCUCUAAGCUUCAGAUUGUAAGGAAUCGUACCCCAAACCGACACAGGUGGUCGGGUAGAGAAUACCAAGGCGCUUGAGAGAACUCGGGUGAAGGAACUAGGCAAAAUGGUACCGUAACUUCGGGAGAAGGUACGCUCUUGAUGGUGAAGUCCCUCGCGGAUGGAGCUGACGAGAGUCGCAGAUACCAGGUGGCUGCAACUGUUUAUUAAAAACACAGCACUGUGCAAAAUCGUAAGAUGACGUAUACGGUGUGACGCCUGCCCGGUGCCGGAAGGUUAAUUGAUGGGGUUAGACUUCGGUCGAAGCUCUUGAUCGAAGCCCCGGUAAACGGCGGCCGUAACUAUAACGGUCCUAAGGUAGCGAAAUUCCUUGUCGGGUAAGUUCCGACCUGCACGAAUGGCGUAAUGAUGGCCACGCUGUCUCCACCCGAGACUCAGUGAAAUUGAAAUCGCUGUGAAGAUGCAGUGUACCCGCGGCUAGACGGAAAGACCCCGUGAACCUUUACUACAGCUUGGCACUGAACAUUGACCCUACAUGUGUAGGAUAGGUGGGAGGCUUUGAAGCACGUACGCCAGUAUGUGUGGAGCCGUCCUUGAAAUACCACCCUU